AGAGUUUGAUCCUGGCUCAGUAUCAACGCUGGCGGCAUGCCUAACACAUGCAAGUCGAACGAGAAAGUGGUAGCAAUACCAUGAGUAAAGUGGCGCACGGGUGAGUAACACGUGACUAACCUACCCUCGAGUGGGGAAUAACCCCGGGAAACCGGGGCUAACACCGCAUAACACCGCAAGGUCAAAUGCGUAAGCAGCUUGAGGAGGGGGUCGCGGCUGAUUAGCUAGUUGGUAGGGUAAUGGCCUACCAAGGCAAUGAUCAGUAGCCGGCCUGAGAGGGCGCACGGCCACACUGGAACUGAAACACGGUCCAGACUCCUACGGGAGGCAGCAGUGGGGAAUUUUGCGCAAUGGGGGAAACCCUGCCGCAGCAAUGCCGCGUGGAGGAUGAAGUCCUUUGGGAUGUAAACUCCUUUCGAUCGGGAAGAUUAUGACAGUACCGGAAGAAGAAGCCCCGGCUAACUCUGUGCCUUCCAUCCGCGGUAAUACAGUAGGGGGGCC
rnacentral:rRNA from 1 species